rnacentral:pre_miRNA from 7 species
GAUUUCUGAGCCUGGUCUACAGAGUAAGUUCCAGGACAGCCAGGUCUGUAAGAUCCCCUUUUAGGGACCCCCACUCUAGUCUCGGGAGAGAGAGCAUACCCAAAGAAACACAAGAAUCC